rnacentral:rRNA from 1 species
GGGGAAUAUUGGACAAUGGGCGAAAGCCUGAUCCAGCAAUGCCGCGUGAGUGAUGAAGGCCUUAGGGUUGUAAAGCUCUUUUACCAGGGAUGAUAAUGACAGUACCUGGAGAAUAAGCUCCGGCUAACUCCGUGCCAGCAGCCGCGGUAAUACGGAGGGAGCUAGCGUUGUUCGGAAUUACUGGGCGUAAAGCGCACGUAGGCGGCGACUCAAGUCAGAGGUGAAAGCCCGGGGCUCAACCCCGGAACUGCCUUUGAAACUAGGUUGCUAGAAUCUUGGAGAGGUCAGUGGAAUUCCGAGUGUAGAGGUGAAAUUCGUAGAUAUUCGGAAGAACACCAGUGGCGAAGGCGACUGACUGGACAAGUAUUGACGCUGAGGGGCGAAAGCGUGGGGAGCAAAC